rnacentral:lncRNA from 1 species
CACUCAUUCAUCCAUCCAUUCAUUCAAUUUAUUCAUUCAUCCAUCCAUCCACCCAUUUACCCAUUCAUUCACUCAUUCGUCCAUCCAUUCAUCCAUUCAUUUACAGAGCUCCUAUACUGUUCCAGGGGUCUCGUUAAGCAAUUUUCUGCCACCAGGAUGACGGAAUGCCUUAAACAACUUACAAGGGGGAAAAGUUCGUUUUGGCUUUGGCUUCAGUUGUCCCUUGCUGCUUUGGCCUGCACAGCUGGAACACCCUGUUGACCAAACACUCUCAUCUCAUGGAGUCUAAGAAAAUAGAAGGGGUGGGUGGGGAGGACUGGGCUGGAGACCCAACAUCUCUUCCAAGGUCAUACCUCAAAGCACGUAACUAUCCCACUAGGCCCUGCUUCUUCCUGAAGGUUCCAAU